UAGCAUAUCAAUAAGCGGAGGAAAAGAAACCAACAGGGAUUGCCCCAGUAACGGCGAGUGAAGCGGCAACAGCUCAAAUUUGAAAUCUGGCCCCUCGGGGUCCGAGUUGUAAUUUGUAGAGGAUGCUUUUGGUGAGGUGCCGCCCGAGUUCCCUGGAACGGGACGCCACAGAGGGUGAGAGCCCCGUCUGGCUGGCCGCCGAGCCUCUGUAAAGCUCCUUCGACGAGUCGAGUAGUUUGGGAAUGCUGCUCAAAAUGGGAGGUAUAUGUCUUCUAAAGCUAAAUAUUGGCCAGAGACCGAUAGCGCACAAGUAGAGUGAUCGAAAGAUGAAAAGCACCUUGAAAAGAGGGUUAAAUAGUACGUGAAAUUGUUGAAAGGGAAGCGCUUGUGACCAGACUUGGGCGCGGCGGAUCAUCCGGGGUUCUCUCCGGUGCACUUCGCCGCGUCUGGGCCAGCAUCAGUUCGUCGCGGGGGAAAAAGGCUUCGGGAACGUGGCUCCUCCGGGAGUGUUAUAGCCCGUUGCAUAAUACCCUGCGGUGGACUGAGGACCGCGCAUCUGCAAGGAUGCUGGCGUAAUGGUCACCAGCGACCCGUCUUGAAACACGGACCAAGGAGUCGUCUUCGUAUGCGAGUGUUCGGGUGUCAAACCCCUACGCGUAAUGAAAGUGAACGCAGGUGAGAGCUUCGGCGCAUCAUCGACCGAUCCUGAUGUUCUCGGAUGGAUUUGAGUAAGAGCAUACGGGGCCGGACCCGAAAGAAGGUGAACUAUGCCUGUAUAGGGUGAAGCCAGAGGAAACUCUGGUGGAGGCUCGCAGCGGUUCUGACGUGCAAAUCGAUCGUCAAAUAUGGGCA
rnacentral:rRNA from 1 species